UCAAAAUCGUAUGGAAGUUACUUACGUCGAUUUGAAAAAGUAAUCGAGAUUUGUUGUUUUAUACACCAGUUAUUGAUAGAUUCUUUGAACUUAUUUUGAGUGGCUCCUCUUGGACGAAGUUGACGUUGGUUCUGUUGAUAGUGAUCGGGAUCGCCUUGAACAAUUUCAGUAACUUCCGGUAAUGGAAUCAAGCCUGAAGGAGAUUCCGACGCUCUUUGGGUGACUAAAUCCUUCGUGGUAGAUCCCGAUUGUUUGCUUUUCAACGGUGCUCUUUUUAUGUCGUUGAUGCUGCGCGCGUAUUGAACUCCGGUAUCACUCAUCUAAGUAUAUUGACAGCUAUAGAAGGUAUGCUAUUCACGCCUGUGCAUUGGUAUUAGUAGAUAGUUAUGAACUUUUACCGGAUUUGUAUGGAAUUUGUUAUAUUUUAAUGCAAUUUAAGUAAAUUUAGGUAUUUAGGAUAACAAAAUAUCGAUAAUUUAGCAGAAUAAUUUGUUACGUAUCCGAUUGGGAGGUCAUUUAAUGCAUUUGUUCUAUUUA